CCUUCGUACUCAUAAGUUGUUUUCGAUGUUGGGGCUUUCGAAUCGACGAUCCAUACCGUUAAACAUGAUCUCGAGUAUUUGAAAUUUUUGGAAAAUAAAUUUCGUAAUUUUUCGAAACCAUUAUAAAAUUCAUCAAGCGGGUAUAAAAUGAAUGGUCAAAAUCAAACGACAUCCUAAAAAUGGAUGAUCGGAUCCUUCAAUUUAAGAUCGGAGUUACUGAUCUUUAUUUAGGUAGUGAAUAGAAUUUUCUAUCAAAAAUUUAACCUAUUCCGAUUAUUUUACACCGUUAAACUAGCAAAUAUCUACUACCGGCCGUUAAAUAUUGUCAAUUUUGUGAGCUUUUGAUUGUAAGGUAAAUGAUAUCGAAAAAUUAAAAAAUUUAAUUUAUAGAAGUUUUAAAUGCUCUAGAUAAUGUUUAACGGUGUGAAUCGUUGAUUCGGAAGUUCUAUCAUCGAAAACAACUUAUGAGUACGAGAGCGAUUGUACUCAUGAGAGUAUAGUAGCCAGACUCAUAUAUAUA
rnacentral:lncRNA from 1 species